rnacentral:rRNA from 1 species
CUACGGGAGGCUGCAGUGAGGAAUAUUGCACAAUGGGGGGAACCCUGAUGCAGCAACGCCGCGUGGAGGAUGACGCAUUUCGGUGUGUAAACUCCUUUUAUAUGUCAAGAAAAUGACGGUAGCAUAUGAAUAAGCACCGGCUAACUCCGUGCCAGCAGCCGCGGUAAUACGGAGGGUGCAAGCGUUACUCGGAAUCACUGGGGCGUAAAGGACGCGUAGGCGGGUUGGAAAGUCAGGUGUGAAAUCCUACGGCUUAACUGUAGAACUGCACUUGAAACUUCUAAUCUAGAGUAUGGGAGGGGGAGAUGGAAUUAGUGGUGUAGGGGUAAAAUCCGUAGAUAUCACUAGGAAUACCUAAAGCGAAGGCGAUCUCCUGGAACAUUACUGACGCUAAGGCGUGAAAGCGUGGGGAGCAAACAGGAUUAGAUACCCCUGUAGUC